AGUAUCUAACACAGGAUAUCCUAGCAAGAUCUUUCAAGAGAAAUGUGACUCAUGGUCUUUCGUAUCAGUGGAUGCAAGUUCCUGUUUUGCAGAAAAUGUGCUCCUACACUUUCAGGGGUCUUGUUUGGAACGAUAGUUCCUGACCAACUUUACAAUAAGUUUGACUAGGAUUUCUGCACAGAGAGAAA